GAUGAACGCUAGCGGCAGGCUUAACACAUGCAAGUCGAGGGGUAGAGGAAGCUUGCUUCCUUGAGACCGGCGCACGGGUGCGUAACGCGUAUGCAACCUACAUUUUACAGAGGGAUAGCCCAGAGAAAUUUGGAUUAAUACCUCAUCGUACAUAGUCUUCGCAUGUUGACUAUAUUUAAGUUUCAACGGGAACAGAUGGGCAUGCGUCCUAUUAGCUAGAUGGUAAGGUAACGGCUUACCAUGGCAACGAUAGGUAGGGGUCCUGAGAGGGAGAUCCCCCACACUGGUACUGAGACACGGAACAGACUCCUACGGGAGGCAGCAGUGAGGAAUAUUGGACAAUGGGCGCAAGCCUGAUCCAGCCAUGCCGCGUGCAGGAAGAAGCAUCUAUGGUGUGUAAACUGCUUUUGUACAGGAAGAAACACCCCGACGUGUCGGGACUUGACGGUACUGUAAGAAUAAGGAUCGGCUAACUCCGUGCCAGCAGCCGCGGUAACAC
rnacentral:rRNA from 1 species